rnacentral:rRNA from 1 species
UACCUACGGGGGGCAGCAGUAGGGAAUCUUCCACAAUGGACGAAAGUCUGAUGGAGCAACGCCGCGGGAGUGAAGAAGGGUUUCGGCUCGUAAAGCUCUGUUGGUAGUGAAGAAAGAUAGAGGUAGUAACUGGCCUUUAUUUGACGGUAAUUACUUAGAAAGACACGGCUAACUACGUGCCAGCAGCCGCGGUAAUACGUAGGUGGCAAGCGUUGUCAGGAUUUAUUGGGGGUAAAGCGAGUGCAGGCGGUUCAAUAAAGCUGAUGUGAAAGGCUUCGG